rnacentral:rRNA from 1 species
GCUCGUAGUCGGAUUCGGGGCGGGUCGACCGGUCUGCCGAUGGGUACGCACUGGUCGACGCGUCCUUCCUUCCGGAGACCGUCUCACUCUUAACUGAGCGGAGGCGGGAGACGGAACGUUUACUUUGAAAAAAUCAGAGUGUUUCAAGCAGGCAGCUCGCUCUUGCAUGGAUUAGCAUGGGAUAAUGAAAUAGGACUUUGGUGCUAUUUUGUUGGUUUCGAACACCGAAGUAAUGAUGAGAAGGGACAGUCAGGGGCACUCGUAUUCCGCCGAGAGAGGUGAAAUUCUUAGACCAGCGGAAGACGAACCACUGCGAAAGCAUUUGCCAGGGAUGUUUCCACUGAUCAAGAACGAAAGUUAGGGGAUCGAAGACGAUCAGAUACCGUCGUAGUCUUAACCAUAAACCAUGCCGACUAGGGAUUGGAGGAUGUUCACUUUUGACUCCUUCAGCACCUUACGGGAAACUAAAGUCUUUGGGUUCCGGGGGGAGUAUGGUCGCAAGGCUGAAACUUAAAGGAAUUGACGGAAGGGCACCACCAGGUGUGGAGCCUGCGGCUUAAUUUGACUCAACACGGGGAAACUUACCAGGCCCAGACAUUGUGAGGAUUGACAGAUUGAGAGCUCUUUCUUGAUUCGAUGGGUGGUGGUGCAUGGCCGUUCUUAGUUGGUGGAGUGAUUUGUCUGGUUAAUUCCGUUAACGAACGAGACCUUAGCCUGCUAAAUAGUGACGCGAACACUCCGUUCGCGGUC